rnacentral:lncRNA from 1 species
GUCAUAGCCAGGCACCUUCAUAGGACACCAGAGACAGAUAGACACACAUGAUCACAUCAGCACACACCAUUAUCUUAGCCUCCCGGAUGGAGGCAAAGAUGUGUGUGUGUGUGCAUGUAUGUAUGUAUGUAGUAUGUGUGUGUGUGUGUGUGUGUGUGUGUGUGUGUAGAUGUGAAGAUGGAUGACCUGUGAACCUUUUGUGCAUUUUUGCAGUGUUGGCAGGAAGGACAGAUGACACCUGGGAAGGCUUUUUUCUGGUGUGUAUGUUCUUGUGUGUGUUUGUGUGUGUGUCUGUGUCAUGUGCGCACGUGGUUGAUUGAAUGAGCAAUCACACAGUGAGACCUUGGCAAGGAUGUUGCAUGAGCACGGCAAUGACCCCUGAAGGGCAAGGACUACUGGACUGCAGCUCUUCCUGCAUCCCUGAGCAGUGGCCGGUUCCAUCACCACUGUCGCUCAUCGGCACCACCAAGAUUCAAGUGAAUGCCCUUGCCCAUUCGACGGACUUCAUUUGGAACAUUGCUGAAGGCCAGACAAGGGUAUGGCCCGUCCCUCCAUCUCAGACGGCUUUAUCCCAACGUGAGCCAGGUUGUGGACGUGGAUCAUCAGGCUUGGCUAUGACAAACAUUCCAAGGGUUAUUGGCACAAAACUGAAGAAGAUGGAGUGUUUUCGUCUGGGGAACAGAAAACACUCAGGAAGAGUUGGCCAGAGGAGCAUGCUCUAGAUGAAUCGUGCGAUUCAGCCCACAAACGUGUAUUAUAUUUUAGCUGUAUCAUUUUUGCUGCAUAGCGUUUAAGUUGGUAAGAUUCACACCAGUCUAUUUCCAAUAGAACGAUGUGUGAUUAAAUAACAAAGGAGUCAAGAAACAUUUAUUCACUCCGGCCUUAUGAACGGCAAAUCAAGAAGUGUUCUCAAUGUUUGGUGCUGCUGGCGAUGCUUUGACGCUUCAAUAGUUCCUUGAAGGCAAUGGAUGCAAGUUAACUUUUUUUGUUGGUUUCAUAUCGUUUUUGAUAAAGA